GUCUGAAAUUCGAACGGACAAUGACUGGAACAGAGAAUGAAUGCAGAGAAAAUUAGCAUGGCCUCUACGCAAGCAUGACACAAAUUCAUCAAUGUCACAUUCUUUU
rnacentral:snRNA from 1 species